AUAACUGAAAAUGUGCGUUGGUGUUAGUGCAUAGAGAAAAAAUAUCCCUAGAAGAAACUGCUGAUCGUUUCACUAAUACACGCACAUUUUUUAUGUCAGAGCUGACGAAAAAAUUACACUCAAAUGACUGUCAAUGCUUAUGUUAAAAAGAGAAAUCUAUGAAUGAUAUUGCUUAUAUAUGUAAGAAUGAAAUAGCUUAAUUAUUCAACACUGUCAUCAUUGACAGUAAAAUGAAAUUUAAAAUUACUGUCAAUGUUGAUUUUUUUUAAAUAAACACUUUUCAACACUAAACAUCGUUUAUCAACACUGAUCUGUAUGCAGAAAAGCAACCCUGUAAAAAGAGAAACAUACAACUCCAUAUAUGUAUGUACGUUUAUAAAAUGUUGCGCAAAAAAAUGUUUACUGUUAUUCUUGCCACAAACGAGAAGUGUUGCGCGUUAAUUCAGUGAAUUCUAAAUCGAAUUAUUAUAUUUCGUGCGUUGUUUAAGUGAUUUAUGUUUUGUGAUUAAAUCUACAGUUUACUAUAUUAUCAAGAAAAGAUAAGUAAAAAUUAAAAAAAACGACAUUUCAAAAUCAUUUAAGUAAAGAAAAAAGGAUUUUCAAAUCCAAAAUAAUAAAAUAUAAAAAUUUGGUGGAAUGUGCGGGGAAGUUAAAUAGUGCGCAGAAUAGUGAACUCAUAAAUACGAUGAAAUAUGUUGCAAAAGAAAAUGACGAAAAAAGUGAUGUUGUGUCUUUCACGAUUUUUCGCAACAACCCGCACAUUCUGCUUAAAUGAUUUUAAUAACAUAAAUUUAAUAAAAAUUUUAAUUUUACAUGAGCUCUACAAGCAAUAUGUUUGGCGAAUCAAUCUUUGAAAGCCAAGAAGAAAAUGGUAAGAAAACAGAAAUAUAAGGCAGUCGUAUUCCAUUAAUAAUAUUUAAAUAUAUAUAUCAGAUCAUCAGAUAUUGAUCCCAAGGAAGUUAUAUAGUAUAAAAGACAACGUAUCAACAACCUCAACCCCUUCACAAGAUAAGGAGAAUGUAUCAACUCAAGAAUUAAAUACGAUGGCCAUUCUAAACGAAAUUCUGGGAAAGCAGAGGGAAAUAUUGGAUAAGAUACAUACUUUAGAAUCAAAUCAACAGAUAUUAUUCGAUACAUUAGGUUCACUAAAUAAUGGACAAGUGUUGAUAACAGGAAAUCAGAAACAAAUUACGGACAAAUUGGAAACAGUGGAACAAAAAUCUAUAGAUAGAUCGGAAAUGCUAGCACAGAGUUCCCUGAUUAGGGAAUGUAAAGUUCAUUUAAAAAAAUUGAGCGAUCGGUGGGCCUCAUGACCGGAGAGGAAAAAGACGAGGCUCUCGACCAGGUAGCAAGCCUUUUACCUAUUCAAAACUUUGAGGGAUGUUUGGAAGUGGAAGAAAUUCUAGAGAAACAUGAGUUCGCACAAUCUAUGAUCAGUUAUGUCCACAAACUUAAAAGGACCUACUAGAGUAUUUCAAUUUUGAUGGAAGAAGAGAAAAUUAGCAUUAUGUAAGCUAAAAAUCUUCGAAGAAGUUUUAAGAGUCGUUUACCUGCCACAAGGAUCUUUCAAUUUGGAAAAGAGUAUACGGAGGUCUAUUGAACGGGGUCACCACCGAAAUAACCAAAAAAAAAUAUAUUAAUAGGAAAAGAAACAAUUAAUAUAAUUUUUCAAUAAUUUAGU